rnacentral:rRNA from 1 species
GGCGAACGCUGGCGGCAGGCCUAACACAUGCAAGUCGGACGAACCUUUCGGGGUUAGUGGCGGACGGGUGAGUAACACGUGGGAACGUGCCUUUAGGUUCGGAAUAACUCAGGGAAACUUGUGCUAAUACCGAAUGUGCCCUUCGGGGGAAAGAUUUAUCGCCUUUAGAGCGGCCCGCGUCUGAUUAGCUAGUUGGUUGAGGUAAUGGCUCACCAAGGCGACGAUCAGUAGCUGGUCUGAGAGGAUGAUCAGCCACAUUGGGACUGAGACACGGCCCAAACUCCUACGGGAGGCAGCAGUGGGGAAUCUUGCGCAAUGGGCGAAAGCCUGACGCAGCCAUGCCGCGUGAAUGAUGAAGGUCUUAGGAUUGUAAAAUUCUUUCACCGGGGACGAUAAUGACGGUACCCGGAGAAGAAGCCCCGGCUAACUUCGUG